GAUAAACUCUGAACUAGUACAGCCAGUUCAGCUAUAAAGAACAGACCUAUAAUUACGAUUAAAUCUACGAUUUCACAUAAGUGUGUGAGUACACUUUUGUUUAGUAGUGCGCGUAAUUAAUCGUGAAUAGUGAAAUUAUUCGUUGAUUCUUCGAUGGAGCUGACACGGAAAAAUUGGCACAGUUUCCUAGCUGAUUCUGGACACAUGACAAACUUGUGCUUCGCUAUGCACAUAUCAAUUGUUCAAUUCACGUUUGCGCGGCGUAUUUACGGAACGGACUUGGCUCUAAGCGAUUCAAAGCGACAAGUACACCAAGUGCGCACGGCAUCGUCAACGUUUACAUUGGCAG